UACGAAGGGGGCUAGCGUUGUUCGGAAUUACUGGGCGUAAAGGGCGCGUAGGCGGCGUGUCAAGUCAGGCGUGAAAGCCCCGGGCUCAACCUGGGAACCGCGCUUGAGACUGGCAUGCUCGAGUUCGGGAGAGGAUGGUGGAAUUCCCAGUGUAGAGGUGAAAUUCGUAGAUAUUGGGAAGAACACCGAUGGCGAAGGCAGCCAUCUGGACCGAUACUGACGCUCAUGCACGAAAGCGUGGGGAGCAAACAGG
rnacentral:rRNA from 1 species